AUUGAACGCUGGCGGCAGGCUUAACACAUGCAAGUCGAGCGGGGGAAGGUAGCUUGCUACCGGACCUAGCGGCGGACGGGUGAGUAAUGCUUAGGAAUCUGCCUAUUAGUGAGGGACAACAUCUCGAAAGGGAUGCUAAUACCGCGUACGUCCUACGGGAGAAAGCAGGGGAUCUUCGGACCUUGCGCUAAUAGAUGAGCCUAAGUCGGAUUAGCUAGUUGGUGGGGUAAAGGCCUACCAAGGCGACGAUCUGUAGCGGGUCUGAGAGGAUGAUCCGCCACACUGGGACUGAGACACGGCCCAGACUCCUACGGGAGGCAGCAGUGGGGAAUAUUGGACAAUGGGGGGAACCCUGAUCCAGCCAUGCCGCGUGUGUGAAGAAGGCCUUAUGGUUGUAAAGCACUUUAAGCGAGGAGGAGGCUACUCUAGUUAAUACCUAGGGAUAGUGGACGUUACUCGCAGAAUAAGCACCGGCUAACUCUGUGCCAGCAGCCGCGGUAA
rnacentral:rRNA from 1 species